GGAAAAGUAGUCCAGACACCAGUAUAAGAUGCUCAAGAAUUUAAUGUCUAUUGUAAUAAAACAGUGAGGAGAGAACUCAUUUGCAAAAAGAAGUAGUGGAAGAAGCCAGAUCCAGUUUGUAGUGGUUAAUGACAUACACGGGAGAGGACCAGAUUGCUGCCUUAUAUAUAUCAUCAGGAGGAACCACUGCCCAGCUAGAUCAGAAUGUGGAUAGUGAUCUUGUG